rnacentral:lncRNA from 1 species
AUUUUUGUCAAAAUGUUAUUAGAAAUCAUAACUAUUGUGGUAAAAGUAUACAAUCACACGAAAAAAUCAGAUUUAAACCUAAUAAUAACAAAAAUCAACACCUGAAAAUUUUUAUGAAUGAACAAGAUUUACCGCUAAAGUAAAUCACAUGACUUUGUACACCGGAAGUAAACAAACCACAUACUACUUUCAACUUGCUGAACUAUAUUUGUUACUAACAAGGCUUUUCAACAAUCCUGUACUCCUGAGUUGCCCAGGAGACGAAGAUCUAACUUGCCUUCUCUGCUAACUCUAUUUAAAUACCAAUCUUUUCACGAAUCAAUUUUCGAGCACAGACCAAAGAAAUCAUAAACAA